rnacentral:rRNA from 1 species
UACGUAGGGAGCAAGCGUUGUCCGGAAUCACUGGGCGUAAAGCGCACGUAGGCGGCUUCUUAAGUCAGGGGUGAAAUCCUGGAGCUCAACUCCAGAACUGCCUUUGAUACUGAGGAGCUUGAGUCCGGGAGAGGUGAGUGGAACUGCGAGUGUAGAGGUGAAAUUCGUAGAUAUUCGCAAGAACACCAGUGGCGAAGGCGGCUCACUGGCCCGGUACUGACGCUGAGGUGCGAAAGCGUGGGGAGCAAACAGG